UGCAUUCACUCUAUGAUUGUCACAGUCUGUAGGGAGCGUGGUGUGAGCUGACAUGGGUUGGGGGAGCGUUAUUCGUGGUGCUAGUGCCGCUGCAAGCGGUUCGCUAUCCGGAGGCGCAAUCGCAGGAAUAGUGAUUGGAUCUAUAAUAGGAUUCGGUUUACUGAUUGGAAUCCUGAGCGUUAUAAUUCCGUAUUGCUGUGACAAAUGCGACACGUCUAGCGUGCAACCUCAAACGGUACAAGUUGUUAAACAUUCAGGUAACUCUCAAGGUAUGAGCAAUCCCGCUGUACCUCGAUAAACGACAUCUGCCGGAAUAACCUCUGUAUUACCUUCCGCAGUAUGAGAAAGAACAGUUUUGUUGCAAUAGCAAGUUUGGAACAGUAAUAAUGUCACCGUGAUUUUAUAGAGCGCUUUUUAUACCCAAUAGAAAAUGAACUAAAUCAUACAAUGUUUAACUGAUAUAUCAAUAAUAUUAUCUCGUUUGCUUGUCCAUCAGGUUAGAAUAGAAAAAAUCAAGAUACUGCGAAACCAUCCAUUCAUCAUUGAAUUAAUGUAAACUAAAAUAAGAAUUUCAGAUACAAAUGACUAUAAUGUGUAGUGUGUACUGUGACUGAUCUGAUUAUGGAGUAUAUAUUAAAUGC